rnacentral:sRNA from 1 species
AUACCGCACUCAGAAGACGACGACAAAACAAAAA